ACGAACGCUGGCGGCGUGCUUAACACAUGCAAGUCGAGCGGUAAGGCCCUUUCGGGGGUACACGAGCGGCGAGCGGGUGAGUAACACGUGGGUGACCUGCCCUCAGCUCUGGGAUAAGCCCGGGAAACUGGGUCUAAUACUGGAUAUGACUCCAUGACGCAUGUUGUGGGGUGGAAAGCCUUGUGCGGCUGAGGAUGGGCCCGCGGCCUAUCAGCUUGNGGUGGGGUGAUGGCCUACCAAGGCGACGACGGGUAGCCGGCCUGAGAGGGCGACCGGCCACACUGGGACUGAGACACGGCCCAGACUCCUACGGGAGGCAGCAGUGGGGAAUCUUGCGCAAUGGGCGAAAGCCUGACGCAGCGACGCCGCGUGAGGGAUGACGGCCUCCGGGUGUAAACCUCUUUCAGCUCCGACGAAGCGGAAGUGACGGUAGGAGCAGAAGAAGCACCGG
rnacentral:rRNA from 1 species